CGAGCGAUGGCGGCGGCGGCGCGCUCGCCCCGCAGGCGCACCAGCUCCUGCGGGGCGGGGGUCGCCCUGGGAUCGUCGCCGGGUUGCUCGGC
rnacentral:tRNA from 1 species